rfam:Trichobilharzia regenti genome assembly, scaffold: TRE_scaffold0002431
GCACUGAUGAAGAGUCCUAAACUAGGACGAAACGGCUGUCCAGUAC